ACGAAAUUGUGGACAUACAAAAUGGACAGCUGUGUUGUUUUAUGUACAUGUCGGUCAUUGUUAUGUCGCUGCCUUCUUACAAAUGUUCAUGUAGUAGACUUCACAACGUCAUUUACAGUUCACUGUCGUGUAGUCAUGUCGUGUCACUCUCUAUGUGUUCAACAUUUAAGGUGUAUAAUUAUUGAAAUGGACACUGCUUUUAAUUUACACUACGAUGACGAAAAUGUUAUUAAAAAAUUGAUGUUCUGCGCAUAAGAAGCAUGCCUUUCUGAUCACACAAGUCCGUUCGAACUUCCUAAUACCAAGCGAGCGGAAGUUUUAUUGAAAUAAAAUGACUUUUAAGUAUUGCUUAUUAUUGUAGAUUCAAUUAAUUCUUGUUUAAACGAGGAAUUAUUUUGUUCUUUAAUAAAUGAAAUAAAGGAAUAUUGGGUCUCAUGCAUAAAAACGAGUAAAAGCGCUGAGUUGAGUCAAGUGAGCAAUUGCUCGUAAGUCGAGUUCGAACAAACAGCAACAGCUCUUGCUCAAUUUCGUAUGCAUAAAAAUGAGUUCAAACCAAUUACAAUUACUUGAGCAAACGGAGAUCAAACCUCUAAGUGCAAACAUGUCGUCAAGUGGAAGUGAGUUUGAAGUAGAGCUAAAAAAUAAUAAUAAAAUGGAAAUGGACGAUAUUUCAAAAUUUUUAGUAGAAAAAAUAAAAGAAAAAAAAUAUUUGCUCGAAAAAAGUCAGUUACCAAGUGUAAAAAGUAAACAAGCAAUAAAAAUAUGUGUGAAGGAAAUUUGGCAAAAAUUUGGAAUUGAACUGUUGGAGAAAAACAUUAUAAAAAAAAUAGCAAACAUGAAAUGUCGAGUUAAAAGUAAAAUAGACAUAAAUAAAACAGGCAAUAAGAAGAUUAUUUUAAAAAACUGGGAAGCAGAAUUAUCUUCAUUGCUUUGUUCUGAUUGUAAUCCCUCGACAAAAAAACUUCCUGUUCUCUUUUUCUUGGAAGCAAUGGCGAUACAUUAAAAGAGACAUCAACAACAACAACAUCAGAAACAAAAACAACAGUAACAUCAGCAGCAAAACAGCAAAUAAAGCGCCGUUGCACUGAUAGCGACGACCAAACUGUUAACAAAAAGUCAACAGCAGUUUUGAGUCGUUAUGAGACUGAUGAGACAAGGCAGCUAAAUUUUCAAAGUCUGCAUAGGCUUUUUUUGUUAAAGCAAAACAAAGUUCUUUCCGCAAAAUUAGAGAUUUUGCAGGAAAAACUUGGGGAAAGAGGGUUGGAGUUCCCUGAAUAAUUACAUUUAUUAAUAAAUAAUUAAUUAUUAUUAUAUUUUUGUGCAUUUAUUAUUUUUAUUCGUUAAAUAGUGAAUUAAAUUAAUUUUGUUUUUGUAUAAAAAAGGGGAUUUUAUUAAUGUUAAUUGUUUUUAUAAACCCAAAAAAAAAUAAAAAUAUUGUUUUAUUUUAUUUUUAUUACAAACUAAUUUGAUAAUAAAUUUGCGAUCAUCCUCCUUUUGUUUUUUCCAGCUUCUGAAAUUCUUGCUGUUUGUUGUUCGAUAUAAUUUCCUGAUGUGUGGCAAUCAUUAUUGUUGUAAUCGUCAUUGAUUAGGAUGUAAUCGUCUCUUAAAAAUUUAGCAAUGUUAUGUAAAAUUAAACAACUAGCUAUUACGUGAGGCGCCAGCUCUGUCGAUACACGAAUUUUAUAUUGAAGUAUCGAAAACCUUUGCUUCAAUUGUCCAAAACACCGCUCUAUAAUGACACGUUCCUUUGUAAACACUUUGUUGAAAUUUUUUUCUACUUCAGUUGUUGGGUUCCGGAAUGGUGUCUUUAGCCAUGGACAUAUCCCAUAGCCCUCCUCCCCGAGAAGUAAUGCAUCGUUUGUUACAUUUUGCAUUAUCCUACAUACCUCGCUGUUUCGUAGGACGCGUGAAUAAAAAAAAUAAUUAGCCAACCAGCAGAUGCUACUAUCAUCAAACCUAUGUAUUUUCAUUUUAUUAUUAAUUAUAUAAAAAAUUAAUAAUUAAGAAUAUAAACCUGUAUAAUUUUUUAUCCUCACUUACUAAACUUGUUUUACGCUGUUGAUAA